CGAACAAAACGCCGCUAUUCGGAUAUAACGAUGGAUUAUUUUGGACCAAACCAACAUUUGUUAUUGAAGUAGACGUCCUGGGUGUGCAUUCUGACGAAGACAACAAAAGGAACCAUGUUCGCGUCUUCAGACUGUUUACGGAAACCACCCUGGCUCUCCUCCUGUCCUACUGCCCUGGAAUGGAUGUCGUCUUCAGACUGUUUACGGAAACCACCCUGGCUCUCCUCCUGUCCUACUGCCCUGGAAUGGAUGUCGUCUUCAGAAUAUACCCACUCUAGCCAGUAGACCCUACAGAUUCAGUAUAUCAGCUUGGAACAAAGGCCUUGCUGGUGGUUCUGUGCCUUACCCUACUCUCUGCUCAUCUUCCUCUAUGAUGAAAUACAUCCUGCGACAAAAUUCAGGAGGUUGGGUGGACAAGGAGUAUGAAGGAUCUUGUUUGGAGACUUCUUCCUGGUUAACCUGAUCCUGUGGGUGGAGGGCAGCCAUCCCCUUCGCCGCUCUGGUGGCCAUCUUGGCUUUGAGGUUUGCCAUCUCCAUGCCCUUUACCUUUGUGGGCGCCUAGCCUACUUCGGCUUCAAGAGACCUGCUGUGUUUCAGAGUACUGUGGUGCCCUUGAGGUAGAGUAAACACCGAUCGACUUCACCCUCCUGUCCAGAGCCCAGACAUGAAAGGCUUAGUUCUCCUGCAAGCCUGAAAAUACAGAGAGCUCAGGCUUUGAUCCUCCAUGGGGUUGACUCCAGAGCGACCCCCUGUUUUCCCACUGCCAGCCCAAUCAAAGCCCUCUGCUCCCCACCAGACCUUAGGAUGGAGCAAAACGAGUGUGGAUUCAAAGUUGGAGAGAAAAGACUCAAAGAGUAAUCAAUUACUGUACCUGGAGUGUAAAUAAGACAUUAUACCAGGUGUCAGGUGUACACAGGAAGACCAACUCUAUACGCAAUCGACACGGAAGCAAUUUUUUUAACAAAAAUUGAUUUCAUUUGGUGUCACGCCCUGGCCAUAGAGGGUUUUAUUCUCUAUUUUGGUUAGGACAGGGUGUGACUAGGGUGGGCAUUCAAUGUCCUUUUUUUCUAUGUUUUUGUAUUUCUUUGUUUUGGCCUGGUGUGGCUCUCAAUCAGGGACAGCUGUACAUCGUUGUCGCUGAUUGGGAGCCAUACUUAGGCAGCCUGUUUUCCUUUGGGUUUUUGUGGGUAGUUGUUUUCUGUCUUGUGUUUUUGACCUGACAGAACUGUUGGCUUUCGUUUUUGUUUCUUUGUUUAAGUGUUUUGUCAUUUAUAAUAAAUUAUGACCACUUA
rnacentral:lncRNA from 1 species